GACGAACGCUGGCGGCAUGCCUAAUACAUGCAAGUCGAGCGAACAGAUGAAGUGCUUGCACUUCUGACGUUAGCGGCGAACGGGUGAGUAACACGUAAGGAAUCUACCUAUAAGCGGGGGAUAACAUUCGGAAACGGGUGCUAAUGCCGCAUAAUAUCUUCUUCCGCAUGGAAGAAGAUUGAAAGACGGCUCUGCUGUCACUUAUAGAUGACCUUGCGGUGCAUUAGUUAGUUGGUGGGGUAACGGCCUACCAAGACGAUGAUGCAUAGCCGACCUGAGAGGGUGAUCGGCCACAUUGGGACUGAGACACGGCCCAAACUCCUACGGGAGGCAGCAGUAGGGAAUCUUCCGCAAUGGGCGAAAGCCUGACGGAGCAAUGCCGCGUGAGUGAAGAAGGCCUUCGGGUCGUAAAACUCUGUUAUAAGAGAAGAACAAAUUGUAGAGUAACUGCUACAGUCUUGACGGUAUCUUAUCAGAAAGCCACGGCUAACUACGUG
rnacentral:rRNA from 1 species